AUUGAACGCUGGCGGCAUGCCUUACACAUGCAAGUCGAACGGUAACAGGUCUUCGGAUGCUGACGAGUGGCGAACGGGUGAGUAAUACAUCGGAACGUGCCUAGUAGUGGGGGAUAACUACUCGAAAGAGUGGCUAAUACCGCAUGAGAUCUACGGAUGAAAGCAGGGGAUCGCAAGACCUUGUGCUACUAGAGCGGCCGAUGGCAGAUUAGGUAGUUGGUGGGAUAAAAGCUUACCAAGCCGACGAUCUGUUGCUGGUCUGAGAGGACGAUCAGCCACACCGGGAAUAAGACACGGACCAGACUCCUACGGGAGGCAGCAGGGGGGAAGUUUGGACAAUGGGCGCAAGCCUGAUCCAGCAAUGCCGCGUGCAGGAUGAAGGCCUUCGGGUUGUAAACUGCUUUUGUACGGAACGAAAAGCCCUGGGUUAAUACCCUGGGGUCAUGACGGUACCGUAAGAAUAAGCACCGGCUAACUACGUGCCAGCAGCCGCGGUAACAC
rnacentral:rRNA from 1 species